AUUCCAGCUGCAAUACUAUGCUAUCAUCCGUUAUCCUCUCCAUUAUAUACGUAUUAUAUUUUAUAGGAACUAAUCAUACCAAAAAUUCUAAUUUUUUUGUGAUUUUUAUUUUCAUCCAAAACUUCAAUUUAGUAUAAUCAGAUAAUCCAACUUGUGAAACAGUGCAAUUGAUACUGACAAUGACAUCCAUUAGAUGGUCUUGAUGAUGGAGAUGAUGACAUGUUAUUACGUGCCAUCAAAAGAAUUCUAACACAGGCAAGAUCGCGGAUGUGGAUAUUUUUCUAUCUUAUUUUUGCCCUGUUCAGCUAUCAUAUUUUCCACCUUCCUUCCUUAUCUCCUCAUCACGGCUACCUUCUUACUCUUCCUCUGUUUCCGCCGCUGCUACCGGCACGUCCUCCCCUCCAUUGCCAUUGAUAAUGGUGGCCACCUCUUCGAUAUGGUGGAGAUUUGACGUCCACCACGUACGUCCAUACCCAUCAUCCAUCUCGACAAGCCUAGAAUCCACUCCAUCGCCAUCUGAACUUAUAAGGCUGACGACCACCUCUUCAGCACCACCGAUAAUGGCUGCCCCGUCU
rnacentral:lncRNA from 1 species